UAUUAAACACAUUUGUUGUGCAAUACACAAUAGUGAAUAAUACCUUUUACACAUUUUGUAUUCAAAAUUGUAUCAACGUUGGCAACCCUGAAUAGUGGAAAACUGACAUCUUUGCUGACACUGAGCUCAUUUGUUGAUGCAUCAUUGCAGUGAGUGAAUUUAAGGGAAUUGCAGUGGAAGUGCCGGUAUUUUUGUAAAGAUAUUUCUUAACUAUUUUAAAAUUUUUUUUUGAAUUGUGUAAUUUUUAUGUAUUGAAUUUGGCGUAUGUUACAAUAAUGCAAAUAAAUAGUUGUGGAUCAUUUAACUAAUUGGAAAAGUUAAAAAUUUUGCUAUGGCGCCGUUCAAAUGUACUGAUUGAAAAUUAUACUGAUGUUAUGUUACUAUAAUAAAAUGAAAUAAAAACAUAUUCACAGUUUAAUAAAAAUGAAACGUCUACUGAUAAGUUCAAUAUUCGUGCUUUAUUAUAAAGCCGAAACAUUUGAUCAGAACUUUGUGCUUUAUAAGACUUCACUUGUCGGAAAUUUGCAAAAAAAUGAUUUGAUGAAGUGUUUUCAUAAGGAUUUAAAAAUAUACAACAUUACAAAAGCAUGUUUGUAAAAACGGUUCAAUUGUCACCAAUAACAUGCGACGCAGUUGGUACUCACAUCUGUAAACAUUAAAAAUCACCAAUGAAGAUGUGAAAAAAACCCAAAAAAAAUUUGGGUUUAUUUUGUUGCCUUUAAAUGCAUAGACUUCUCAUCCUUUUGGCAGAUUUGAAAAUGUAUAGAAGCAUUCGAGUGUUUUGCCAUUACAGUACCAACAGACCCACAAUUUGCCAAACGCAAAUAAGUAUAUGAGUAAAGCAGAGUACGCCAAUUUUUAAUAUCAGAUUAUAUUUAUAUUAACGUCAUAAAAUUCAGAAAGUAAAAUCAUUAAAUGAUUCAAAUGAGCAUCAUAAUAUCAAAGAAUUUUGAAUGCAAAAUGAUGAAUUCUUGAUUAUAUUAAAAAUUAAAAAAAGCAAUAGCUCCUAAACAUAACCAAAUCAAAGUAAUGAUUCAGCUUUUGUUCAUGAUGUUUGUGAGUGUGACCAUUAUAAUAAUCCAUCAAAAAUUGGUGGAGCAUAUGUAUGCUAUUAACUUACAAUAUAGUAUAAGCUGGUUUAUUUUUUGCUGAUGCAUCAUGGAAAAAUGUAACCAUCAUUAAUACUUCAAAUAAUGUUAUUAUUGUGAUGAUGCACAAUGUGAAAACGAGUGAUAAAUUUAUUGCUAAGAAGUGACUUUCAUCCUAUAUCAUGUUGAAACAUUGAAUGCUACUUUGCUUUUCUAUCUAAAGGAUGUUGUUAACUACAAUCAAGUUAGAGUUACCUUCAAGUGAAUAUAUUAAUGUAUUGGAAUAAUUAUAAAACUCAACUUAGAAGAAAUGAUUUGUUGAAACAAUGCCUCUUCAAGAAACUUAAAAUGCAAGCAAUUCAUCAACAGC